UUCCCUUCCAUUCCCUUCCAUUCCCUUGCUCUCCCUCCACACUACACCCCCAUUUUCCCUUCCCUUCCACUCCCUUCCAUUCCCUUGCUCUCCCUUCCCACUACAUCCCCCAUUUCCCUUCCCUUCCCUUCCAUUCCAUGCUCUCCCUUGCAUACCAUUCCCACUACACCCCCCAUUUCCCCUCCCUUCCAUUCCCUUUAUCUCCCUUCCCCCUACACCCCCCAUUUCCCUUCCCUUCCAUUCCCUUGCUCUAUCUUCCCACUACACACGCCUUUUCCCUUCCCGUCCUUUCCCUUGCUUUCCCUUCCCACUUCAUUCCCCAUUUCCCUUCCCUUCCAUUCCCUACAAUUCCCUUUCUCUCCCUUCCUCUCCCUUCCCACUACACCCCCCAAUUACCUUCCCUUCCAUUUGCUUACUCUUCCUUCCCAAUACACCCCCAAUUCCCUUCCCAUCCAUUCCCUUGCUCUCCCUUCCCGCUAUAGCCCCCAUUUCCCUUCCCUUCCCUUCCAUUCUCUUGCUCUCCCUUCCAUCCCCCUCCCACUUCAACCCCAUUUCCCUUCCCUUCCAUUCCCUUCCAUUCUCCUGCUCUCCCUUCCCAGACAUACCCCCUUUUCCCUUCCCUUCCAUUCUCUUUCUCUCCCAUCACACUACACACCCAUUUCCCUUCCCUUCCUUUCCCUUGCUCUCCCUUCCAACUACACCCCCCAUUUCACUUCCAUUCCCUUGGUUUCCCUUCCCACUAUACCCCUCAUCUACCUUCCCUUCCAUUCCUUGCUCUCCCUUCCCACUCUACCCCACCUUUCCCUUCCUUUCCUUUCCAUUCACUUUCUCUCACUACCCACUACUCCACCCUUUACCCUUCCCUUCCAUUCCCUUCCAUUCCCGUGCUCUCCCUUCUCACAACAAGUCCCGUUUCCCUUCCCUUCCAUUUCCUGGCAUUCCCUUCCAUUCCCUUGCUCUCCCUUCUCACUACACCCCAUUUCCCUUCCCUUCCAUUCCCUUCCUCUCCCUCCCCACUACACCUUCUUUUUCCCUUCCCACCCAUUCCCUACACUUGCCUUGCUCUCCCUUCCCACUAAACACCCCAUUUCCCUUCCCUUCCAUUGCCUUCCUCACCCUUGCUCUCCCAUCCCGCUACACCUCCCAGUUCCUUUCCCUUCCAUUCCCUUCCAUUCCCUUCCAUGCCCUUUCUCUCCCUUCCCGCUGCAAUCCCUUUUCCCUUACCUUCCAUUCCCUUCCACUCCCUACCCACUACUCCCCCCCCCCAUUUCCCUUCCAUUCCAUUCCCUUGCUCUCCCUCCCACUACACCCCCAUUUCCCUUCCCUUCCAUUUCCUGGCAUUCCCUUUCAUUCACUUGCUCUCCCUUCCCCCUACAACCCAUUUCCCUUCCCUUUAUUCCCUUGCUCUCCCUUCCCACUAUACUCCCCUUUUCCAUUCCCUUCCAUUCCCUUCCAUUCCCUUGCUCUCCCUUCCCAAUGCAACCUCAUUUCCCUUCCCUUCCAUUCCCUUCCGCUUCCUACCCACUAGUCACCCCAUUUCCCUUCCCUUCCAUUCCCUUCCGCUUCCUACCCACUAGUCACCCCAUUUCCCUUCCCUUCCAUUCCCUUGCUCUCCCUCCCAAAUACACCCCCCAUUUCCCUUCCCUUCCAUUCCCUAUCUCUCUCUUGCCGCUACACCUGCCAUUUCCCUUCCCUUACA
rnacentral:lncRNA from 1 species